UGCCUUUGACCUUGACGUGCUGUGUUGUGCUCCGUAGGGGGAGGCCGAUGUCCACUCCACCAUGUCGGGGAAGGUGGCACAGACCGCCUGCAUGUCAGCCUGCAAGCACCUGUCGACGUCGCUGCUGCAGCUGCUGCUGGAGGCCGAGGUGAGGCAGCUGAGCCUGGGAGCCCUGCACCAGUUCAACCUGGACGUGGAGGAGUGCGAACAGUUUGCCAGAUCCGGCCCAGUGCCUGGGUUCCAAGGGGACACGCUGCAGUUGGCCUUCAUCGACUUG